CCGUAACUAUAACGGUCCUAAGGUAGCGAAAUUCCUUGUCGGGUAAGUUCCGACCCGCACGAAAGGCGUAAUGAUUUGGGCACUGUCUCGACAAUGCACCCGGUGAAAUUGAAAUACCAGUGAAGAUGCUGGUUACCUGCGCCAGGACGGAAAGACCCCAUGGAGCUUUACUCCAGUUUGAUACUGGGAUUCGGUAUUGCAUGUACAGGAUAGGUGGGAGGCUUUGAAGUGUGGACGCCAGUCUGCAUGGAGCUGCUGUUGGGAUACCACCCUUGCAGUAUUGGAUUUCUAACAUGUAGCCGUGAACCGGCUAGUGGACAAUGUCAGGCGGGGAGUUUGACUGGGGCGGUCGCCUCCGAAAGGGUAUCGGAGGCGCUCAAAGGUUCCCUCAGAAUGGUUGGAAACCAUUCGAAGAGUGCAAAGGCAGAAGGGAGCUUGACUGCGACACCGACGGGUGGAGCAGGUACGAAAGUAGGACUUAGUGAUCCGGUGGUAUAAAGUGGGAUUGCCAUCGCUCAACGGAUAAAAGCUACCCUGGGGAUAACAGGCUUAUCACUCCCAAGAGUUCACAUCGACGGAGUGGUUUGGCACCUCGAUGUCGGCUCAUCGCAUCCUGGGGCUGUAGCAGGUCCCAAGGGUUGGGCUGUUCGCCCAUUAAAGCGGUACGCGAGCUGGGUUCAGAACGUCGUGAGACAGUUCGGUCCCUAUCCGGCGCGGGCGGAGGAUAUUUGAGAGGAGCUGUCCUUAGUACGAGAGGACCGGGAUGGACGGACCACUGGUGUAUCUGUUGUCGACCAACGGCAUGGCAGAGUAGCCAAGUCCGGAAGGGAUAAACGCUGAAGGCAUCUAAGCGUGAAGCCCCCCUCAAGAUAAGAUAUCCCAUAGCGAUAGGCUAGUAAGACCCCUUGAAGACGACGAGGUAGAUAGGGCAGAGGUGGAAGUGUGGCAACACAUGGAGCUGACUGUUACUAAUAGGUCGAGGGCUUGAUUAA
rnacentral:rRNA from 1 species